rnacentral:rRNA from 1 species
UGUGAGCUCGAUGAGUAGGGCGGGACACGUGGUAUCCUGUCUGAAUAUGGGGGGACCAUCCUCCAAGGCUAAAUACUCCUGACUGACCGAUAGUGAACCAGUACCGUGAGGGAAAGGCGAAAAGAACCCCGGCGAGGGGAGUGAAAAAGAACCUGAAACCGUGUACGUACAAGCAGUGGGAGCCUCUUAAUGGGGUGACUGCGUACCUUUUGUAUAAUGGGUCAGCGACUUAUAUUCUGUAGCAAGGUUAACCGAAUAGGGGAGCCGAAGGGAAACCGAGUCUUAACUGGGCGUUAAGUUGCAGGGUAUAGACCCGAAACCCGGUGAUCUAGCCAUGGGCAGGUUGAAGGUUGGGUAACACUAACUGGAGGACCGAACCGACUAAUGUUGAAAAAUUAGCGGAUGACUUGUGGCUGGGGGGGAAAGGCCAAUCAAACCGGGAGAUAGCUGGUUCUCCCCGAAAGCUAUUUAGGUAGCGCCUCGUGAAUUCAUCUCCGGGGGUAGAGCACUGUUUCGGCAAGGGGGUCAUCCCGACUUACCAACCCGAUGCAAACUGCGAAUACCGGAGAAUGUUAUCACGGGAGACACACGGCGGGUGCUAACGUCCGUCGUGAAGAGGGAAACAACCCAGACCGCCAGCUAAGGUCCCAAAGUCAUGGUUAAGUGGGAAACGAUGUGGGAAGGCCCAGACAGCCAGGAUGUUGGCUUAGAAGCAGCCAUCAUUUAAAGAAAGCGUAAUAGCUCACUGGUCGAGUCGGCCUGCGCGGAAGAUGUAACGGGGCUAAACCAUGCACCGAAGCUGCGGCAGCGACACUAUGUGUUGUUGGGUAGGGGAGCGUUCUGUAAGCCUGUGAAGGUGUACUGUGAGGUAUGCUGGAGGUAUCAGAAGUGCGAAUGCUGACAUAAGUAACGAUAAAGCGGGUGAAAAGCCCGCUCGCCGGAAGACCAAGGGUUCCUGUCCAACGUUAAUCGGGGCAGGGUGAGUCGACCCCUAAGGCGAGGCCGAAAGGCGUAGUCGAUGGGAAACAGGUUAAUAUUCCUGUACUUGGUGUUACUGCGAAGGGGGGACGGAGAAGGCUAUGUUGGCCGGGCGACGGUUGUCCCGGUUUAAGCGUGUAGGCUGGUUUUCCAGGCAAAUCCGGAAAAUCAAGGCUGAGGCGUGAUGACGAGGCACUACGGUGCUGAAGCGACAAAUGCCCUGCUUCCAGGAAAAGCCUCUAAGCAUCAGGUAACAUCAAAUCGUACCCCAAACCGACACAGGUGGUCAGGUAGAGAAUACCAAGGCGCUUGAGAGAACUCGGGUGAAGGAACUAGGCAAAAUGGUGCCGUAACUUCGGGAGAAGGCACGCUGAUAUGUAGGUGAAGCGACUUGCUCGUGGAGCUGAAAUCAGUCGAAGAUACCAGCUGGCUGCAACUGUUUAUUAAAAACACAGCACUGUGCAAACACGAAAGUGGACGUAUACGGUGUGACGCCUGCCCGGUGCCGGAAGGUUAAUUGAUGGGGUUAGCGGUAACGCGAAGCUCUUGAUCGAAGCCCCGGUAAACGGCGGCCGUAACUAUAACGGUCCUAAGGUAGCGAAAUUCCUUGUCGGGUAAGUUCCGACCUGCACGAAUGGCGUAAUGAUGGCCAGGCUGUCUCCACCCGAGACUCAGUGAAAUUGAACUCGCUGUGAAGAUGCAGUGUACCCGCGGCAAGACGGAAAGACCCCGUGAACCUUUACUAUAGCUUGACACUGAACAUUGAGCCUUGAUGUGUAGGAUAGGUGGGAGGCUUUGAAGUGUGGACGCCAGUCUGCAUGGAGCCGACCUUGAAAUACCACCCUUUAAUGUUUGAUGUUCUAACGUGGGCCCCUUACCGGGGUUGCGGACAGUGUCUGGUGGGUAGUUUGACUGGGGCGGUCUCCUCCUAAAGAGUAACGGAGGAGCACGAAGGUUGGCUAAUCCUGGUCGGACAUCAGGAGGUUAGUGCAAUGGCAUAAGCCAGCUUGACUGCGAGCGUGACGGCGCGAGCAGGUGCGAAAGCAGGUCAUAGUGAUCCGGUGGUUCUGAAUGGAAGGGCCAUCGCUCAACGGAUAAAAGGUACUCCGGGGAUAACAGGCUGAUACCGCCCAAGAGUUCAUAUCGACGGCGGUGUUUGGCACCUCGAUGUCGGCUCAUCACAUCCUGGGGCUGAAGUAGGUCCCAAGGGUAUGGCUGUUCGCCAUUUAAAGUGGUACGCGAGCUGGGUUUAGAACGUCGUGAGACAGUUCGGUCCCUAUCUGCCGUGGGCGCUGGAGAACUGAGGGGGGCUGCUCCUAGUACGAGAGGACCGGAGUGGACGCAUCACUGGUGUUCGGGUUGUCAUGCCAAUGGCACUGCCCGGUAGCUAAAUGCGGAAGAGAUAAGUGCUGAAAGCAUCUAAGCACGAAACUUGCCCCGAGAUGAGUUCUCCCUGACUCCUUGAGAGUCCUGAAGGAACGUUGAAGACGACGACGUUGAUAGGCCGGGUGUGUAAGCGCAGCGAUGCGUUGAGCUAACCGGUACUAAUGAACCGUGAGGCUUAACCUU